ACAUACGACCAUAGGGUGUGGAAAAUAGGGCUUCCCGUCCGCUCAGCCGUACUCACGCCACACGCCGGGAGGUUAGUAGUUGGGUGGGUGACCACCAGCGAAUCCCUUCUGUUGUAUGUU
rnacentral:rRNA from 1 species